AUGCCCGACGCCGGCCCUCUCCAUCCCCACGCUGCCCUAUGGGCGCAAGACAACUCCAUCCAGAACAUCAAGAGCCUCAUCCCAGUCACCCUCGACCUCAAGGCGUCCAACUUCUCCAAGUGGUGCAACUUCCUCACCAUUGCCGUCAACCAGUUCGCCCUCGCCGAUCAUCUUGAACCGGCACCCCCUCCAGCUGACGCGGAGUGGCUGCGGAUGGACUCCACCGUCCUUCGGUGGCUGUACGGCUCCAUCAACCCCGACAUCGCCGACAUGGUCAUGGCAGCCGGUACCACGACUGUCGCUGUCUUCGCUGGCAUCACCUCCCUCUUCCGCGGCAACCAACAGUCGCGUGUGGUCUACCUCGUCCAGAAGUUCCACAACAUCGUCCAAGGCGACAAGACCGUCACCGCCUACUGCCUCGAGCAAAACACGGUCGCUGAUGCUCUCGCCGACGUCAAUGCCUCGGUCUCCGACGACGCUCUGGUGUGGAACACCAUCAAGGGCCUCAACGACCACUACAUGGACAUCGGCAACCACGCGCCUCUCAUCAAGCCGUUCCCAACGUUCCUUGAAUUUUGCGACAUGCUUCUUCUGCAGGAACUUAAGCCGUCCUCCCUGAGCUCUACGUCGCCCGUGGUCUUCUACUCCGCUCCUGCCAAUGGUGGCCUCGCGGGGGAUUUGCACCUCCACCACCACAACCGGCCGGUCUCGGUGCUCCGGCGCCAUACGGUGCUCCCACCGGGUACGGUACCGGCUGCUACAAGGGGAAGAAAAAGAAGACUUGGGGUGGUGGCGCCCCCAUCUUCCCCAACAUGCAGAACCCCUGGGCCGAUGCCAUCCACAUGUACCCGAUGA
rnacentral:rRNA from 1 species